CGUGGCUGCGGGCUUGGGGACGCGGCGUGGCGGGCCGGGACCAGCCUCCCCGCUAAGGCCCACCGUCCCUGCCUGCCCGGUCGGCGGGCAGCGGCCAAGACGUGGCGUUACCCAGUAGUGGCGGAGGUCCCCGGGAAAAGCAGUUUCUGGUUCCUCCUGACCCUUGGCCCGCCCUGGAUCAGAAGCCCAUGUGAGGGUUGAACACUCCUACCUCUGGAAUGUGAGGCCCGGGACACAGAAGGAAGGCCACAUUGAGGAUGCAGGGAGAAGACGGCCAUCUGCAAGCUAAGGAGAGAGGCCUCAGAAUGAAGCCAACCUUGACCUUGGACUUCCUGCCUCCAGGACU